AGCGAACGCUGGCGGCAGGCCUAAUACAUGCAAGUCGAACGAAGUCUUCGGACUUAGUGGCGGACGGGUGAGUAACACGUGGGAACGUGCCCUUUGGUACGGAAUAACUCAGGGAAACUUGAGCUAAUACCGUAUGUGCCCUUCGGGGGAAAGAUUUAUCGCCAUUGGAGCGGCCCGCGUCUGAUUAGCUCGGUGGUGAGGUAAAGGCUCACCAAGGCGACGAUCAGUAGCUGGUCUGAGAGGAUGAUCAGCCACAUUGGGACUGAGACACGGCCCAAACUCCUACGGGAGGCAGCAGUGGGGAAUCUUGCGCAAUGGGCGAAAGCCUGACGCAGCCAUGCCGCGUGAAUGAUGAAGGUCUUAGGAUUGUAAAAUUCUUUCACCGGGGACGAUAAUGACGGUACCCGGACAAGAAGCCCCGGCUAACUUCGUGCCAGCCGCCGCCGUAAGAC
rnacentral:rRNA from 1 species